rnacentral:rRNA from 1 species
UACGUAGGGUGCAAGCGUUGUCCGGAAUUAUUGGGCGUAAAGAGCUCGUAGGCGGUUUGUCGCGUCGGCCGUGAAAACCUGCAGCUUAACUGUGGGCUUGCGGUCGAUACGGGCAUCACUGGAGUUCGGCAGGGGAGACUGGAAUUCCUGGUGUAGCGGUGAAAUGCGCAGAUAUCAGGAGGAACACCGGUGGCGAAGGCGGCUUUCUGGGACGGUACUGACGCUGAGACGCGAAAGCGUGGGGAGCGAACAGG